CAGUUCUCUCACUAUGAAAGACGAGCCAAAUUAACUAGGAGUCUCAAAAAUGCCUUUCUAAGCUUUGAAAAAAUGAGAACUCUGGCCUCAGGAUGCAAGAGGAGAGCCCAAGUGAGCGCAGUCGGGGCUGAGCGCGCCACUGUGGCCCUUGGAGGGCAGCCAGGGUCCUCGGCUCUGCUGCUGCUGCAGGAACUGUCACUCAAGAUGGGGCAGUGAGCACAGCGCAGUCAUGUGCCAGGGCUUUGAGGAAGGGCUGCUCACGUGGGGGCCAGCCACUGCAGGGAUUUAGGAGGAAUUCAUCCCAAAUCCUGGAGCCCAAACGGCGACCGUCAUCUGUGAGAUGAAGCAGCUGCUUGGCCUCUUCACAGACUCAAACCCAGGGUAAGGCCAGAGGAAGGUCACAUUUCUUACAUGCUACAACUCUCCCUUGUGUCCCCAGACCUGCUGGUUUUCUGUAAAGCACCCCUUUCCAGCUCCCCAUCCCACCGCACAGACCCCCAAACCAUACACGUGUGUGCACACGUGCAGACACAGGCUGCUAAGGGCUAAACUGUGCUCCAUGCCAAGUGUUUGGGGGAACCGCUGUCAGGGUUGGUGCCCCUGAACAGAGCCGGAGGCUGGCACUCAGAAAGGCUCAGGACCAAAAGCCAGGGUUGACUUGCCUGCUCUCCCCAUUCCAGAAAGACUGCUGUAGACAGCAACGCAGCGCAGCACAAACCUCCUCACUGGAAUUCUGUCACAGAGUGAAAUGGUCCCAUGAUGGGUUUUUCUCAGGGUUGGAGAGCCCGGGAUCAGCAGGAGCCCUCUGAAUGAGCAGCCUUCCCCACGGUGCUGGGCUCACUGCAGAGGGGCAUGUGCCAGGCUGGCCGAGGCUCUCCAAGAGGUGGCAACUGUAAACCCAUCCAGGGGAACCACAUGUGCGGGGCUCCUCCUGCUCAGCACAGUGGCCUGUGGGUGCCUUCUUGUAUUUUGCAAAGCUAACAAUACAUUUUAUUGGGUAUUUAACAGUUCUGCAGGCGCGACAGUCCUGUGGAAGCCCCAGGGGGGUCAUGGAGUAGUAAAGGAAGGGGAGUCUAAGCAUUAGUUAUGCUGAAGCUGCGGUUCCUGAGAAGGUGGUCUUCCUCCUAUGAAGCUCUUGUUUAACAGUGAGCUAAAAAUACCUGGCCCUGGGGGUUGGGGGCGGUAGUUGGUGUCUUUUUCAUUUAAGCCUGUAGUGCCAAUGUCUGUUGUAUAAAAAUGAAAUGUGUCAGCCGGGCACAGUGGCGCACAUCUGUAAUCCCAGCAGCUCUCAAGGCUGAGACAGGAGGAUCAUGAGUUCAAAACCAGCCUCAGCAACUGCAAGGUGCUAAGCAACUCAGUGAGACCCUGUCUCUAAAUAAAAUGCAAAACAGGGCUGGGGAUGGGGCUCAGUGGUCGAGUGCCCCUGAGUUCAAUCUUCAAUACCAAAAAAAAAAAAAAGAAAAGAAAAAAAGAAAUGUGUCUCAAAGCAGAAGAGCUGUUCUGCAGCUGUACCACCCCAGUGCAGCAGUGUGCAAAGAGCAUAAGAACUCAGAACACUAAAUAUCAAGCUGUGCCUGGGAUGAUCACAAACCCCAGAUAAGAGCAGGCUGGAAGAUGGACUCUAACACCCCCAAUGGCCUCCAGCGCCCCAAGUCCUCUCUGAGGCAGGUGGCGUUGUUCAGGGCUGUUCCCUUUCAAUUCCCACUUUCCCUUCCAGCCACAGAGAGGGGACCUGUUUGCAGAGCCCAGGAUGGAGUGUUCCAAGUGCAGAGCCCCAUCAUGCAGAACACCAUUUCCCUUAACAUCUGGCUGCAUCGCAAAUGCCUCUGGGAAAGAGGAAAGCCGUGCGCAUUUAUAUUCACUAAAUAAAGUCAUUCAUCCUACAGCUCCAUCCAUUGACCUGCCUGGGUGGCAUGUCUCAUUGGCAGAUGAGCAUACCCACCUGUUGUUACUUAGGGCCACCACAGCUGCCAGUCAGUUAGCCCUCUGGGCAGACAAUCAGGGCCACCCUCUUUCAUCUAGGGCCAGACACCAGUUCCUUGAGCCUUGGGAACACAAUUCUCAAGUCUCAAGGAUCAGGGACUUUCUUUUAGACCCUGUGGAUCAUCCCACGAUUCGGGGGCCUGCUGGAUCUGCAUGUGGCCCACUGUGCUGGCUGGGUCCCCCGGGGCCUGCAGCCACCCAUUGCCCUGGAUGGCUAACUCAGUUGCUGACCUGUUUUUCAUUCAGUGAUGCCCUAUAAAUAGUGGCCAAUUGUGCUCAUUGGCAGCAGUCCUGCCACCACACCUGGGUCCCCAAAUCAGCCCCUGGCAGGACUGCUGACCCCACUCCGGCUAUGUUGGGGCAGCCUGGGCUCUGGCAGGCUGGCCUCCCCUGCAUUAGCCUGGGGCAGGGAUGGGGUCUUCUCUAAGACCCACAUCCAUCCCUGCAUUCAUCCUGUGGGCGGUUCCAGGACUUUGGGGGCAGGUGUUGCUCCAGAGUCAACUCAUACCUGUCCACUUCAUGACCAAUUGACUCAGCAGUUCCAGCUGAGGCACCAUUCAAAGGAUCCCUCCAAAACAAAUUAUUUACAGCAGCCAACCAGCUACCAGCCCCCCCGGGAGCCACCACUAGGAGAAGCUUUAGAAAAUAUACUUUCAGGGACACUGACCAUGCUGGCCAUUGUCCAGCUGCCAUGUGCUGCCCACCAUGGCCCCCACCCAAGAAUAGCUGCAUCUGUCACAUACCUCUCCUCUUGACUCAUCCCCAACCCCAGCCAUUGCUGAUCAGCACAGCGGUGAGUGGCUAACCGAAGAAGCAAGACAGUCUUAGGGCAGAAACCAGGUGUGUUCUCUCAAGGGGGAGCUGGAAGGGAGGCAGGGACCACUGAACCACGAGAGACGGCAUGAGCCCAGCAGAGCCAGGAGCUCUCUGAGCUCACCAGCACUGAGUCUGAACCUUAGCUCUGCUUGUGCUCCUGGGCAUGGGUCACCCUCUCCUGAGGUGACUGGGGAGUCCCUGUUUCUUGUACCUCCCAGGAGUGUGGCCACUUGGCUUUUGCUUCACUGUAGGAACAUCUCCGGGGGCUGGUGGAAGCUCUGGUGUUAUAGUUGAAUUGUGUCCCCUGAAUUAAUAUGUGGAAGUCCUAACCCUCAGUUCCCUCAGAAUGUGACCUUGUCAGGAGAGACGGUCUUUAUAGAGGAAACCAAGGUAGAAUGAGGUCAUUAGGGUGGGCCCUAAUGCAAUGUGACUGGUGUCCUUAUUUUAAAAGAGUAAGCCAGAUGCAAUGACACCUGCCUAUAAUCUCAGCGACUCGGGAGGCUAAGGCAAGAGGAUUGCAAGUUGGAGUCCAGCCUUAGCAACUUGGCAAGACCCUAAACAAUUUAGUGAGAUCCUGUCUCAAAAUAAAACAAUAAUUUUAAAAAGGCCUGGGCCAUAGCUCAGUGGUAAAGCACCCCCAGGUUCAAUCCCCAGUACCAAAUAAAUAAUAAAUAACACCCUCACAAGGAACCAGCCCUGCCAACCCCUUAGUUCCAGACUUCCAGGACUGUGAGAGAACAAAGUUUCGUGAUUUAAGUCAUCUAGUCUGUAAUGCUUGCUUAUGGCAGCCAAAGAAGACUAAUAUAUCAGUGUGGCCGUCUGCUAGGCCAGCUGCCCCCUAGACCACCAUAAUUCUGCAUCCUCAGCCACCAAUCCAGAAUUUUUAUCUCCAUGCGCCCCCAUCCUGCAAAAAAAAAAAAAACAAGCAAACAAAAAAAUUUGAUUUUGUUUUAGGCUCGUGUGUGUGUGCGCACGCGCUGGGGAGGACCAGGGUCCUUGUGCAUACCAGGCACGUGCCACACCACUGAGCUUAGCCCCCAGUCCCUCUUUUGGUCUGUGAGAAUAGAUACGUCGUGCACACUUUUAACAGUCACUUCAUAUAGGAAGGUCUAUAUUAAAAAGGCAGCCAUUUCUGGCCUCUUCCAUUCCCUGUGGGGUCCCUCAGCCCGCAGGCAAAGGGCUUCUGUUGUUCCAACCCUGAGGCUCUGGGACUGGCCAGUCUGAGCAGAGGCCAGCUUCGCAGAGCAAGCAAAGCAGAGCUGGGGUGAGGGGGGCCUGCUCAGGGGAAGCAGGAACUGCUUCCGAAUGCAACUGGCGUCAUACAGCAACGCAAGGACCCAGAGCAGAUCCUGAGCUGGACAGCACAGGUUGGAAACCAAAGGGCCACCAGGUUGUCCUGUGGCUCGUGGGGCACUAGAGGGCGGUUCUUGUCCUGCUGAGCCAUUUGCAUGGUGCCCAGAGGCCAAGGCAAGAGGCCCUCCCUGCGCCACUCUCCCUGUCAUAGCCGCAGCUUCCUCUUUGUCACCCCACAGGGUUCCUUAAUCCCCAAACAGGAACUGCUGCAAGGUCGCAGCAUCCCUGGAGAGGGAUGAGAGGCCUGGGUGCCCAUGACACAGCCUAAUCUCAGGGCAGCACUGGAGGGGGAUGAGUGGCCUGGGCGCCCAGACACAACCAGCAACCAAUCUCAGGGCAGCAGCUGUGGCUGGGCUCACGGUCGGCUUGGGGGAGGACCAUGGGGAGGGGCAAGUGCUGGUUUGUCUCCUCAGGCGUGUGUGUGCCUGGGUGGCUCCCCUGCAAGGCGCACCCUCUGGAGGGUGAGACCCAUCACCCCAUGGUCACCAGGUCACCACGCUGGGAGGGGGAGGCGGCAACUUCCCAUUUUCAAGGUUCUGCAAUCAGCACUACAGGGGAGAUCUUUCCCAACUCUCUCAAACAGACAUUCUUUUCAUUGCAAGGAUAACACCUGUUCAUAGUAGAAACUUCCACUGAUAAGACAGGACAGUAGAAGAUCAAAAGUCAAUUAAUUAAAACAAAUUUUAAAAAUUAAAAAAAAAAUUAAAAAUUUUAAAAAGGAAAAAAAAGUCAUAGUCCUUUUCACUGACCCCACCUCCACUAGCAUUUCCCGCCUCAGAAAGAAACACUACUCAGGAUUUCUUGGGUCUCCUUCCAGGACUUCCCUACAUGCAUACACAAAAGUAUCUUGGUUGUAAAAAAAAAAUACACAGGUCAUAGGAUGUACAAAGUUCGGUGAUUUCCUUAUUUGCUUAUCUCUGUGUCUUGGACACGUUUCCAUGUCACUACAGAUAACUCAUCUUCUUUUCAUUUGUCUCACUCAGUUUCUCAGCUGUUUUUGAAGGCAGGUGUUUGUGCUCAUGAAACACCCUUGUGAACUAAAGAUCUCCAAAGAAGAUGCUCGUGCAUUCAAGAGGCAGCAGGCUGAGGCUGGCCCAGGACUGAUGGCUGUGGAGGGGAUGGUACAGAGCAAGAGCCCAAGUCAUCUUGCACUAGCUCUUCACAGCCACUUAAUAUCAACCCCUGUAUCGGAUCCAGCAUUCUUGUGACUACUAGAUAAAACCCUUGGAGUGUGUGGUAAGCUUGAAAGAUCUCUGGCCUCCACAGACCCAAAAGCUAAGAAUGUGAUAACAUCUGAAUCUCACAGAAGAGAUUCCCUCUCUUCUUUCUGGUCCACUGCUCAUGACCCACCUCCUCAGGAAAUUCCUUCCAGGAAGAAACUGUUGCUUUGGGUCACUUGAAUUUGUGUUCCCGGGCCACGGUCAUCAUUUUUGGCUCAGAAUAAACUAUUUCCUUAUUUCCUCAAAGCAGAGUUGUUAUUUUCCAUCAGUCCACUAAGGUGUAGCUGGCUGGGGGCUGUCAGCUACUUCAGUGAGCAGAGCCAACAGAAGGAAGCUCAAAGAGAGUCGAACAGACCAGCCUGGAAUUGCAGCCUCCAGCUACGGCAUCGUCAUAGGUUUCUGGAUGACUCUGGGCUCAGACUCAGCAUCAGUAAAAUGCAGAUGAUCCUCGAUUGAGGUUAAUGCAUCAGUGUAACAGGUGCUCAAGAAGGUUCGCCCUUCUAAAUAAACGGAGAGACAUUCCAUGUUUAUGGAUUGGAAGCCUCAGUGUUAUUAAGAUGGUGACCACCUCCCACCCCACACCCCACGUGAUCUAUGGACACAGCACAAUCCCUUCAAACACCAGAAGGCCUUUCUGUUUCCCAGAUGUUUUUCCAUGGCUCUCAACCUCAAUCACAUUGGAAUCAUUGUGGGGAGCCACAAAAAGAAUACAGACAUGGGAUCCCAAUGGCAGAGCUCUGACUGACAAUAGGCCUGAUGCCAGGAGAUGGAAAGUUCUGAGUUCAUGGAAGGACAGGCAGUGUCUCGUCCAGAGUGCAGCUGACACUGCUUUCCUCCUCCAACCCAGUGGCUCUUUAUUCCCAGGUGCCCUCAGACUGGUGAUUCUUGGUCCCUGCAAUGUUUGGGGUGACAGCAAAGGUUCUCAGUUCUGUGUGGGGAGCCUCACCUCACUUAAGAUUACUGCCCUGCAAGGUGUCUUUUUUUUUUUUACUUUUUUUAUAUUUAUAUUGGUUGUUCAAAACAUUACAAAGCUCUUGACAUAUCAUAUUUCAUACAUUUGAUUCAAGUGGGUUAUGAACUCCCAUUUUUACCCUGUAUACAGAUUACAGAAUCACAUCGGUUACACAUCCACGUUUUUACAUAUUGCCAUACUAGUGACUGUUGUAUUCUGCUACCUUUCCUAUCCUCUACUAUCCCCCCUCCCCUCCCAUCUUCUCUCUCUAUCCCAUCUACUGUAAUUCAUUUCUCUCCCUUGAUUUUUUUCCCUUUCCCCUCACAUCCUCUUUAGGUAAUUUUGUAAAACAAUGAGGGUCUCCUUCCAUUUCCAUGCAAUUUCCCUUCUCUCUCCCUUUCCCUCCCACCUCUCGUCCCAGUUCAAUGUUAAUCUUUUUCUCAUGCUCUUCCUCCCUGCUCUGUUUUUAGUUGCUCUCCUUAUAUCAAAGAAGACAUUUGGCAUUUGUUUUUUAGGGAUUGGCUAGCUUCACUUAGCAUAAUCUGCUCUAAUGCCAUCCAUUUCCCUGCAAAUUCC
rnacentral:lncRNA from 1 species